rnacentral:lncRNA from 1 species
UAGAGGUGAUGGAAAGAGUAUUUAGAAGGACUAUGCACUUUGAUUUGCCAUGUAAUCAUCCCAGGAAAGCAAAUAUAGGUGGGCCGAUGCAUUGAGUGGAAGGUGCUGGUAAGUUGGCAGAAUGGCAGUUUAGCAUUAGAAGUGUGAAGAUGAUGGGUGACCAUGGAGAGUGGAAUGUAGAUCUUUGUGGAUUGUAUAGGAACUUGCGACACUUUAUGGGUUGUAGAACAACCAACAUUAGUGAAUCACAAGUCAUUGAGGCACAUAGUCUCUGAUGAAGAGGCAGAGCUAUACCUGCUAAAUUAAAGUGAUGGGAGAAGGAACAAUCAGGAUGGGUGCUACAUUCAGAUCAGGCCGGAAAUUCCAAAUGAAGUUGUUUGUAACCUAAUGUCUUGCAGAAGGCAGGAGGUACUUAGUAAAAUUUCAUCCCUCAUGUUUAGCAAUUCAUCCAGGAGGCACCAAGAUUUACUCAUGGCUUGCGUCCGACAAUUUUGGUGAGAAGGGAAUUGAAACAUGAAUGUGGCACAUUUGUCUCAACGAUGCUGACUUGUCAACAAUUUAAAGGCUGAGCACCAGAGGCCAGCCCUUGUGAUGCUUCAAACCAUUUUACCACAGUAACAGAAUGAAAGUGGGAACAUGUGACUAAUGGAUUUUGUAACAGGAUUGCCUAAAUCACCAAGAGGACAUGACUCCAUAUGGGUUGGUAGCGGACGUUUUACAAGACAGCUCAUUUCUUACCCAUUCGAGUUUCAGACUCAUGAAGCUGUUAAGGGCCACUUUGUGUUCGAGAGAGUGGUUCGACUUCAUGGUGUCCCAGUGUCUAUUGUCCCCCCCCCCCCCCCCUUUCCCCAAAAGUCGAGAUCAGGUUUUAACCCACCACGAGCUCGAUAUUUGGCCAAAGUUUGGCAAGUUGUCCUUGGUACCCCCAACGAUUGUUAGUACUGCCAUUCCUCCACAGAGAACGGUUCAAUCGGAGAGAACUAUUCAAUCUUGGAAGACAUUUGCGAGCUUGUUUGAUGGACUCAAGGAAGCUGGGAAAUCAUUUGCCCCUUAUGGAGUUUUGCCUACAAAAAUAGCUAUCAGUCUAAGCAUCAAGAUGGCACUAUUUUGAGGCUUUGUAUGGUAGACCUGUGUAGGUCCGCGCCGGGUGUAUUGGACGGAUGUAAGUAGUCUGACAAAGAGUUUACGACGCAGACAAGACAGCCGGAGAGAACUUUUAUCUUUUGUGGCCGGGGACAUGUUUUUUCUAAAGGUAUUUCCACGUCGCGACUUUAAGAGAUUUGGUUUGAAGGAAAAGCUGACGCUCGACCGUUAUAUUAGACCGUUCAACAUCAUUGCAACAAUUAGGGAGGUUUGCGUAUCGUUUAGCAAACCGCCCAAUUUUCAAGGUGUGUAUGAUGUUUUUCACGUGGCGCUGUUGCGGAAAAUACGAACCGAAUCCUUCCCAUGUGGUGGAAUGGAAAGACUUGAGCUAAAGGCUGAUGUAGCAUUACCGUUGAAGAGACCAAUCGGGGGGAGGUCUAUUCCCAUGGUUAAAGGUGUGGACUAAUCACGGGAGUGAUGAAGUUACUUGGGAAAAAGGAGGAUGAAGUUCGAGGAUAGUACCUUAGAGUUAUUUCGGAGUGACCUUCCCUUAGGCAAAUUUCGGGGACGAAAUUUUCUUUUGGUGGGGAGAAUGUGACGAAUAUGUAAAUUCUUUUUAUUAUUUAUUAUUAGAUAUAAUUAAUUAUUUAUAUUUUAAUUGGGGUGGGUGAAAUUUAAGAAAUAAAGUUUAUAAGUUAAUUGGAAUAGUAACAUAAACCUCUAAGGGUAUGCUAUGUAAUUAUAUAUAUAUAAUAUAUAUUGAUUGUGACUUACUUUACAAAAUUCAUUCUUUCCUCUCUAUCUCGUUGUUUUUUUCCUGUACGCGGUUUUGCUUUGCUUUGCUUGGCCAGAGAAUUCACAAAGCCCAUCUGUCUUUGUCUGUCAAAUUCCCAAUUUGUUUAGUCAUAUUGGAGAUACAAUGUGUGGGAUUCUUCUACCUCUUUCAUAAUCAAAGGACCAAACUAAGUGGAGCAUAUUUGCAAAAACUUUAAGAUGUUUUUCGUCUCAUUUGGUAGGGAUUUCUUUACCCACUUAAUGUAUUUGUGAGAUACAUAAUUUAUAUCUGUACUCCAUAUUAAAUUAAAUUUAAGUAUUGUUUUUAGUAUGAGUCAUAUUUUGGGAAUUUAAUUUCUUGUUAAUUAGAUAUUAAAGGAGCAUGAUAGUGUUAGUUAGAGGUAAAUGAGCAUGUAGUAUGCAUGAUGAAUUGAUUAUUGCGGGUGAUGUUGGUGAAAGCCCCAAUUACAUAAAUUUAAAAUUUUGACUAUGAGGGGUUGUUAGUAAUUUUUUAUAUAGUAUAGAAAGUUGUUAUGAAAAAAAAAUGAGUAGAGAAAAAAUAUAUAUACUUGGGCUUAUAAUCCGGGUUGUCUGCAAAACACCCAAGAUUUUGGCCAAAGGAGGUAUACAGGGCCCUCCAAUCUUUAUGAAAAAAACGUAAAAUUUUAUUUGUCUAUCGCUGAAGGCGGAGGCAAGGAAGUAGGACUUACCCCAAUUUUUCAUAGGUUGUUUGGACUUAGUUGUGUAAUAUUGUAGAUGGCAUCAGCAGACUAGGUCCCACUACAUGACACAGGCCACCAAGUAUGAUUUAAAUGUAGUAAACGAUUUUCUUACUGAAUUAAUAUACUCAUCCCGUGGUAGAAAUAUUGGUUCAACAGAUCAGGUAAAGGGCAUUGAAGAAUUGUUGUUAUUUUUGUGGCUGCAAUGCAAUGAAUUACAUCCAUUUUUGAUUCUGUUUGGAUGUAUAUUCAAAAAUUUUAUUUUUGCUAAUUAUACUUUUUACUUUUCUGUAUUAUCCACUAUUUUUGGCAAUAUAAUUAUAAACUUUACUUAUUUCGAUAUAGUUGUAAACUUAUUAAUCCUUAAAUACAGUUAUUUUAAAUUUAUUAUGUAUGGUGUUUGCUUAUUAGUAAUGGGUAAGAACCCAUUGAGGUUCUUUGAUUGUAGAAGUUAUUAUUUAUGAUAUUUUUUAUUAUAUUCAUACAGGACUUCUAGACUAUUUUCUAGACUUGUCGUUACUCUAGAUGGACCAUGCUCUCCUUUAUUUAUUUAUUUAUUAUGGACAGAUUAUUGGUGUGACCUUUUAUAGAUAAAAGAAAGUCUAGAAGCGUGACAAAUUCCAAUCCAUAUGUCAUCUGACAGCGCGUGAGGCUGAAACUAAGCAAGUGAAUGUAAAAGAGUAUUUACAUAAUUGUAUUCCGAAUAAAGUACAUUGUAUAAUUCCAUGUUAUUUUAAAUCUCUUCCAUCAGGUUCAUCUGUACCUGUGCCCAAUCAUCUUCGCCAUACCUGACUUGCGCAGCUAUCGCCCUGAAUCCACAAUUACCAUCAGCUUGGACGUCAACAAUGUAACUAAUAAAAUCCUUAUAAGCCUCGGGUACUUCCUGCAUGAAGGGAUCGGACAUGGAUGGAGUUGUAGGUUGAUCUUUACGAACUCUCGAGGUUGCAACUGGUAGAGUAACCAAUGUAUCUAGAGUUAAGUUAGAUGCCCCCUAGAUCUUGAAGUACAUGACUCUAGAAUAGAAGGUAUGCGGCGUCUACUUUGCUCAUUUCUGCCUGUCGAUCGACCUUUGUGUUCCUUUUAUAUGCCGUUGGAAAACACUGAAAUUUCACGGGUUUUGGUAAAUCCCAGCCAUCUCGACAACAACUUAUUUCUCCUUCUCCCCUGAUUUGAGCCUGGACAAGUACUCGUGACCUCAGAUAUUUUGUUUGUUCUGGUUUAUGAAAAUCGCACUUCACUAGUAAACCCCGCAGACACCAUCGGGAGGUAUUGCUACAUCUCGCAGCUCAAUGGGCAAUCACAGUUUUUGCUCCAGUAUUUCUUUGCGAGGAUUGCCCUUCAUGAAUAAUAACCCGUGGAGGUUCAUACUUUCCUAUUCUUUCACAACCAAGAAAUAACACUUCGGGAUUUUUUGUCCUUUUAAACAGCUGACCGUUUGAUAACCACCCCACAUGCCAUUUUGCCGACUAACACUACGCUCCAAGCUCACAUUUUCGUCUCUACCUUCAAAAAAUCUGUCGUAAAUAAAAAAUAUGCAUCAGUACACAACGUUAUUGGAUCUAAUUUCAUAAUUGAUAGUAUAAAUGAAAUAAUAAUAGUUAUGAUAAACCGAAACUAACAAUACUUCUUGCCUGAUCGGUGGUAAAUUCAGGCUGUAUAGUCACACCUAUUGAGACAUUUUCUACACUUGAAAUAUCACUCCUCAAGCUGUCCAACUAUUUAAAAUUCAAGUCAUCCUAAUUCUCUAACUAGAUUUCGAAAAGUUGUAACAAAAUAGUGAUAGAAAUUGAAUGAGAAACAAACUGUUGAACCAAUAACAUGAGAUAUUCCAUAUUAUAUUAUAUAUAACAAAAUCGAAAAAAGGGGGGAGAGGCCUGCUGAAAGGGUUUUGGGGCCUGACAAGUGCCGGUUGUUUUGUUGGGUGGGUGGGGGGGGGGGGGGGGGGGGGGUGGAGCGUCUCAAAGGGGGGGACACGGGGUAAAAUGGGGAAUGGCAGGGGAAAAGGGUAAUUCACUCAUGGGGGUCUGGUGAUGUGACAUUUGCGGGGGUGGGAUUAACAGUUCUCUUGGCCAUUAUGACUUUCCUAAUAGAAGCAAAAGCUAUACCAGAGACCAGACUUGAAGCAGGGCAUAUGAAACACCUCCGCUUAACGUUUGGUUAUCUAAGCAAAAAAAGACUUGACAUACCAAUCAACUUACCUCAAUUUGCAACUCAUCCAGGGUGGGUCCCGUUUCAUAUUGUGCAUUACAGGACUACAAUAUCAAUAUUCAUCCAUUUUGUCCGAAUACGGAAUUGUACAAUCUUACAAACACACACUAUUUGGGUGCUCCGUGCUCGUGGCAAUAACUAGUACUUGGCCCUACUAAAUUACCAGAGACAUGGAAAAGCAAUGGAACAUAGAAAUAUCAUGCAAAAAUAUGUUUC